GAUGAACGCUAGCGGCAGGCUUAACACAUGCAAGUCGAGGGGUAGAAGUUGCUUGCAACUUUGAGACCGGCGCACGGGUGCGUAACGCGUAUGCAAUCUACCUUAUACAGAGGGAUAGCCCAGAGAAAUUUGGAUUAAUACCUCAUAGUAUAAUUGAAUGGCAUCAUUUAAUUAUUAAAGUUCCAACGGUAUAAGAUGAGCAUGCGUCAUAUUAGCUAGAUGGUAAGGUAACGGCUUACCAUGGCAACGAUAGGUAGGGGUCCUGAGAGGGAGAUCCCCCACACUGGUACUGAGACACGGACCAGACUCCUACGGGAGGCAGCAGUGAGGAAUAUUGGACAAUGGGCGCAAGCCUGGUCCAGCCAUGCCGCGUGCAGGAAGAAGCAUCUAUGGUGUGUAAACUGCUUUUGUACGGGAAGAAACACCCCUUCGUGAAGGGACUUGACGGUACCGUAAGAAUAAGGAUCGGCUAACUCCGUGCCAGCCGCCGCGGUAACAC
rnacentral:rRNA from 1 species